ensembl:lncRNA
UGGGAGUCCAAUCUAAACUUGCUGCAGUAGGUUAUGUUAUUCCUUAUGAGGUUAUUCCUAAUAAAGAAAUUUGAAUCAGAAACAGAAAAGGUUUCUUAUCAAAUACCACUCCUGCUGGUUUGUUCGAGUCCAGCUGAUAUCAGGUUAAAUUAGUUAUCAUUUACAUUGUCUCCACCAUGAACUUAACUUAGUUAAGUCUAACCAAAUGAACAUGAAGUCUUUCUCUCUCUCUCUCUCUCGAUCUCGCUCUCGCUCUCGCUCUCUCUCUCUCAGAGUGUGGCAAACAUAAAAGCUCCAAACUUUUAUGGCUGUUCGUGUGCGUGUAUGUGUGUGUGAGGACUUAAUUAGCCUUAUUAACACAGUCGCCCUCCCAUCUGCUCAUAAAGAUCUAUCCACUCUGGCCGCGAGCUCUUCAGUGAGUCACGUUCACUAGGCUCCUCUUCAGAGUCAGGUUUACUAGGCUCCUCUUCACUGAGUCAGGUUCACUAGGCUCUUCUUCACUGAGUCAGGUUUACUAGGCUCCUCUUCACUGAGUCAGGUUCACUAGGCUCCUCUUCACUGAGUCAGGUUCAGUAGGCUCCUCUUCACUGAGUCAGGUUUACUAGGCUCCUCUUCACUGAGUCAGGUUCAGUAGGCUCCUCUUCACUGAGUCAGGUUCACUAGGCUCCUCUUCACUGAGUCAGGUUCACUAGGCUCCUCUUCACUGAGUCACGUUCACGAGGCUCGUCACACUCAUUUCGCAGACUUAGCCCUUAGCAUAAGACUCACAGUUAUCCACAUACUCUGGGGGAGGAAGAGAGAAGGAGAGGGGGAGAGAGAGGGAGGUAGUAAGGGAGAGAGGGGGAGAAAGAGAGAGGUAGAGAGACAACGGAACAGAUGCAAACUGUUCCCCAAUUUGAAGCCAAGCAAACGUCUGAGUUGAUUUGUGUGUUUGUUGGAAACUCAACGGUCGAGGGAGAGCGAGAGGGAGAGAGAGAAAGGAGGGAGGAAACGUUGAGUAAACAAUGUAAACGUUUGUUUCCCAUGCCAAUAAAGCUUUUUUGAAUUUGAAUUUGAGAGACCGUUUCAGCCCUGGAGGGAAUCCCUUUGCGUUUUGAUUGAC